GAAGUAGUGCGAGUGCGAGAAAUAAAUAAAGUAGUGCGAGUGCGGGAAAUAAAUAAAGUAAAGACAGUGCGGGAAAGUAAAGUAGACAAAGGUAAAGUAAUAAAAACCUGCUCCAAUCGGAGGGUUGAAUAAAGUGCGAAACAGAAAUGAAAAUGGUGGCAGGAUUAACUUCCUUCCAAAGUGCCACAAACUCGAUUACAGACUCGAUUACAC
rnacentral:lncRNA from 1 species